CAGAGGUGGCAAGCGUUGUUCGGAUUUAUUGGGCGUAAAGGGUCCGUAGGCGGUCCGGAAAGUUGGAUGUGAAAUCCUACAGCUUAACUGUAGAACUGCAUUCAAAACUUCCGGACUAGAGUAUGAGAGGGGUAAAGGGAAUUCCCGGUGUAAGGGUGAAAUCUGCAGAGAUCGGGAGGAACACCAGUCGCGAAGGCGCUUUACUGGCUCAUUACUGACGCUCAGGGACGAAAGCUAGGGUAGCAAACGGGAUUAGAUACCCCGGUAGUCCUAGCCAUAAACGAUGGUCACUAGGUGUUGGGGGGGUUAAACCCUUCGGUGCCGACGCUCACGCAUUAAGUGACCCGCCUGGGGAGUACGGUCGCAAGGCUG
rnacentral:rRNA from 1 species